UACGAAGGGGGCUAGCGUUGUUCGGAAUCACUGGGCGUAAAGCGCGCGUAGGCGGAUUGUUAAGUCGGGGGUGAAAUCCCGAGGCUCAACCUCGGAACUGCCUUCGAUACUGGCGAUCUUGAGUCCGGGAGAGGUGAGUGGAACUCCUAGUGUAGAGGUGAAAUUCGUAGAUAUUAGGAAGAACACCAGUGGCGAAGGCGACUCACUGGACACGUAUUGACGCUGAGGUGCGAAAGCGUGGGGAGCAAACAGG
rnacentral:rRNA from 1 species